rnacentral:rRNA from 1 species
CGCGCAGGCGGUCUCUUAAGUCUGAUGUGAAAGCCCCCGGCUCAACCGGGGAGGGUCAUUGGAAACUGGGAGACUUGAGGACAGAAGAGGAGAGUGGAAUUCUAAGUGUAGCGGUGAAAUGCGUAGAUAUUUGGAGGAACACCAGUGGCGAAGGCGGCUCUCUGGUCUGUUACUGACGCUGAGGCGCGAAAGCGUGGGGAGCAAACA